rnacentral:rRNA from 1 species
CACGUAGGGCGCAAGCGUUGUCCGGAAUACUGGGCGUAAAGCGUGCGUAGGUGGUGAGUUUAGUCUGUCGUGAAAGCCCCGGGCUCAACCUGGGGAUGGCGAUGGAUACUGGCUCGCUAGAGUGCGGUAGAGGAGAGUGGAAUUCCCGGUGUAGCAGUGAAAUGCGUAGAGAUCGGGAGGAACAUCAGUUGCGAAGGCGGCUCUCUGGACCAGCACUGACACUGAGGCACGAAAGCGUGGGGAGCAAACAGG